UACGUAGGGGGCGAGCGUUGUCCGGAUUCAUUGGGCGUAAAGAGCUCGUAGGCGGUUUGGCAAGUCGGAUGUGAAAACUCCAGGCUCAACCUGGAGCCGCCAUUCGAUACUGCUAUGACUAGAGUCCGGUAGGGGAGUGUGGAAUUCCCGGUGUAGCGGUGAAAUGCGCAGAUAUCGGGAGGAACACCGAUGGCGAAGGCAGCUCGCUGGGACGGUACUGACGCUGAGGCGCGAAAGCGUGGGAGCAAACAG
rnacentral:rRNA from 1 species